rnacentral:rRNA from 1 species
UAGAGUUUGAUCAUGGCUCAGGAUGAACGCUAGCGGCAGGCCUAACACAUGCAAGUCGAGGGGUAACAGGAAAGCUUGCUUUCGCUGACGACCGGCGCACGGGUGCGUAACGCGUAUGCAACCUACCUCAUACUGGAGAAUAGCCCCUGGAAACGGGGAUUAAUACUCCAUAGUAUCAUUCUUUCGCAUGUUUGAAUGAUUAAAGAAUUUCGGUAUGAGAUGGGCAUGCGUCCCAUUAGCUAGUUGGUGAGGUAACGGCUCACCAAGGCUACGAUGGGUAGGGGGCCUGAGAGGGUGGUCCCCCACACUGGUAUUGGGACACGGACCAGACUCCUACGGGAGGCAGCAGUGAGGAAUAUUGGUCAAUGGAGGCAACUCUGAACCAGCCAUGCCGCGUGAAGGAUGACGGCCCUAUGGGUUGUAAACUUCUUUUGAAUAGGAAGAAACUUAUCUACGUGUAGAUAACUGACGGUACUAUUAGAAUAAGGAUCGGCUAACUCCGUGCCAGCAGCCGCGGUAAUACGGAGGAUCCAAGCGUUAUCCGGAUUCAUUGGGUUUAAAGGGUCCGUAGGCGGAUCUUUAAGUCAGUGGUGAAAGCCGACAGCUUAACUGUCGAACUGCCAUUGAUACUGGAGAUCUUGAGUACAAACGAAGUA